GACUUUUUAACAAACAUUUUGCAUGAUACAUUUUGAGGAUUUUUUGUCAAAAUGUUGUUAUCUUUUAUAAAUCAUUGGCACAAUAACAAAGGAGGAACAUUAUCAAAGCAACAUUCAUCAAAUGUUUUGUGGACAUUUACCUGAGAUGACAAAAUCUCAUAAUAUAUGUUAACAAAAGCUCAUAAAAUUGUAAGGAUAUUUUAAGGAAGCUGUUUAGGUAACAGAUUGUAGAAUUAUUUUAACCUAUAGAAUAAUGGCAUAAUUUUCCAUAAUGAAAGAGGAACAUUGUCAAAACAGCAUACGGUAAAGUGUUUUGAGGAUAUAUUAGGCUACUCUGAAAUGAACUGUUGCGACAAAUGCGUUUACAAGAGAUGAGAAGCUGAUUGGAGGUCGCUGUAGAUCGACGUUUAAAACCACCAAUCACAGCGCGAUGUUCCCAUGACGUAAGAACAUUUGAACUCGACAAACAGCGCAAAUAAAGCAACGUUUCUGUUGAAGAAAUCGGCGCAGAAUGUCCGUUGUCUAAAUUGGCGACACAUUGGCCCAAAACAACAGAACUCCUGGUCAACGGAACUCUUUCACAACUACUCCAAACGGACUGUUUCAAGAUGAUUAACUUACCGAUGACACAAUAAAGUCUCCAUUUACAACCAAGGUAGCCAAGAUGCCGAAUGGCAGUGAAUGGCCGUCUAUCAAGGCGCAUCCAUCCAUGAUAAAAGUAAUCCACCACAUGACUCUGGCGGGG